ensembl:miRNA gga-mir-6543 gga-mir-6543
CCAUUCCCUUUUGUCCUGUUGCUGUUACCUGAGAGAAGAUGCUGACUCCCUCCGACCACAGCCUCCUUUCAGGUCACUGUAGGCAGCGCUAAGGUCUUCCCUGAGCCU